GCACUGCUGAGGAGUCCCAUACUAGGACGAAACGGCCUUCCAGUGC
rfam:Schistosoma curassoni strain Dakar, Senegal genome assembly, scaffold: SCTD_scaffold0000257